rfam:Gossypium raimondii chromosome 7, whole genome shotgun sequence.
AAUCCAUUCAUCAGACAUUUAUAAAUUAAGUCUUUAAAUUGUUCCCAAGCUUCAUAUAGUGUUUCAUUCUCCAAUUGCCGAAAAGAUGUGAUGUCAUUUCUAAGCUU